UUCAUCUCCUGUUAGGCCCGUGGCACCACCCCCACCACCUGCCCCAACAUCAUCACCCAUUAGAGCUUCAGCGCCACCUCCACCUCCACCACCUAGAACAACUUCCGGUCCCCCUCCACCACCUGGAACAACUUCCGGUCCCCCUCCACCCCCACCACCAUGCUAUUCAUCGAAACAAUCAUCCAGCCCCAUGGGCAACUCAAUGCCAUCACCUCCUGUUCCACCACCACCCUCCCAUGGAGGUGGCAAUGGAGCUUCUGGCAACAUUGUA
rnacentral:lncRNA from 1 species